AUACCCUAAUUUCACAAACUAAACGCACAUGCACAGAAAGGAAUGAAAGGGAACAAGGGGAGCUUGAGGGAGAAACGGAGAACAGGGGGAGAGAGUGACGGAACAGAGGGAGAAAAGAGGAAGAAGGAUCACCGCGCUGUGCCGCUCCCUGUGCCGGUUGCCGUCGCUGUCGCCAGAGCCAGGGAAGAAGAGAAGCAAAACCGCGAAGAGAGAGAUUGACGGAGACGUUCACUCGCUCAUCCUUGUCGCUGCCAUGCGUUGCCUUCGCCGCUAGUUCAGCUGCCGUCGAGCUCACAAUAGCUGUCACCAUGGAGACCGCCACUAUCAUCUCCGAAGUUGCAUCGUCGAUUAGGUUAAGGAGGGGGAGAAUCAUGAACAACCAUAGGAGGAGAAGAACAUGUGGUGGUGAGUGUUCUCUUAGCCAGGGUCAUUGAAGGAUGCUCCACCACCGCCGCUAGAAUCACGAGCUGAGGUGGAGGAGGAAGCUAUCUUCUCUGUUGUUGUACUCACCGUAAUGCUACUGCUAUGGCUUCGUUUCCUUGUUUUCUUUAAUUACUGAUUAAGCUGCUGUAGCUGUGAACUGUGACGAUUGAUUUUCUGAAAGAAUCAUUGCUGCUAUGAACUAUUUCAGCCCUGCCCUGGAAAAAUGCCUAAAAAUGUUUUUGUUUCCAUCUAGCCACCGUUAUCGCGAUUGUUGAUGACAUCGCUGCUGCAGAGGGUCAUCGGCGUCACUGUUGUAGUUGCGGCCACGAAUUAGGAAUAAAAGGGACUGUUGCGUUAAAUUCCGCAAUUGCGACAUCGAGUGACACAGGUUUGAAGAUGCAAUUUGAAGCUGCGAGCAAUUAGUAGGUUUUCUUUAUGGUUUUAAUUGGUCUGGUAGAGUCCCCUCGCUGAUUGUCCCUUGAGAUUUUAUUUCAUAUAGAAGGGUAGGUUUGGUAUAUUGUAUUUGAGUUUUAUUUGGUUUCUUUUGUAUAAGAAUUAUUAUCAAUAAUAUUUAUGUGAUUAUUAUUAUUUGUAAA